rnacentral:rRNA from 1 species
GACGAACGCUUGCGACGUGCCUAAGAAAUGCAAGUCGAACGGAUCAGGCCUUCGGGUCUGGUUAGUGGCGAACGGUCGCGUAACACGUGGGCAACCUGCCCUGAAGCGGGGGACAACACGCCGAAAGGCGUGCUAAUACCGCAUGUGAAUCGGGAUGGCAUCAUCCAGGAUUCAAAGCCUUCGGGCACUUCAGGAUGGGCCCGCGGCCUAUCAGCUUGUUGGUGGGGUAACGGCCUACCAAGGCGACGACGGGUAGCUGGUCUGAGAGGACGAUCAG